UACGUAGGGUCCGAGCGUUGUCCGGAAUUACUGGGCGUAAAGGGCGCGUAGGCGGCGCAACAAGUCACUUGUGAAAUCUCCGGGCUUAACCCGGAGCGGCCAAGUGAUACUGUCGUGCUAGAGUGCGGAAGGGGCUACUGGAAUUCUCGGUGUAGCGGUGAAAUGCGUAGAUAUCGAGAGGAACACCUGCGGCGAAGGCGGGUUGCUGGGCUGAUACUGACGCUGAGGCGCGAAAGCGUGGGGAGCAAACAGG
rnacentral:rRNA from 1 species